UCCCUAGUGGCUCAGAUGGUAAAGCGUCUGCCUACAAUGCGGGAGACCUGGGUUUGAUUCCUAGGUUGGAAA
rnacentral:tRNA from 1 species